rnacentral:rRNA from 1 species
UUGGAUGAGUUGCGAACGGGUGAGUAACGCGUAGGUAACCUGCCUGGUAGCGGGGGAUAACUAUUGGAAACGAUAGCUAAUACCGCAUGAUAUUGAAUAUCGCAUGAUAAUUAAUUGAAAGAUGCAACUGCAUCACUACCAGAUGGACCUGCGUUGUAUUAGCUAGUUGGUGAGGUAACGGCUCACCAAGGCGACGAUACAUAGCCGACCUGAGAGGGUGAUCGGCCACACUGGGACUGAGACACGGCCCAGACUCCUACGGGAGGCAGCAGUAGGGAAUCUUCGGCAAUGGGGGGAACCCUGACCGAGCAACGCCGCGUGAGUGAAGAAGGUUUUCGGAUCGUAAAGCUCUGUUGUAAGAGAAGAACGGGUGUGAGAGUGGAAAGUUCACACUGUGACGGUAUCUUACCAGAAAGGGACGGCUAACUACGUGCCAGCAGCCGCGGUAAUACGUAGGUCCCGAGCGUUGUCCGGAUUUAUUGGGCGUAAAGCGAGCGCAGGCGGUUAGAUAAGUCUGAAGUUAAAGGCUGUGGCUUAACCAUAGUAUGCUUUGGAAACUGUUUAACUUGAGUGCAGAAGGGGAGAGUGGAAUUCCAUGUGUAGCGGUGAAAUGCGUAGAUAUAUGGAGGAACACCGGUGGCGAAAGCGGCUCUCUGGUCUGUAACUGACGCUGAGGCUCGAAAGCGUGGGGAGCAAACAGGAUUAGAUACCCUGGUAGUCCACGCCGUAAACGAUGAGUGCUAGGUGUUAGGCCCUUUCCGGGGCUUAGUGCCGCAGCUAACGCAUUAAGCACUCCGCCUGGGGAGUACGACCGCAAGG